rnacentral:rRNA from 1 species
UGGGGAAUAUUGCACAAUGGGCGCAAGCCUGAUGCAGCCAUGCCGCGUGUAUGAAGAAGGCCUUCGGGUUGUAAAGUACUUUCAGCGGGGAGGAAGGCGAUAAGGUUAAUAACCUUGUCGAUUGACGUUACCCGCAGAAGAAGCACCGGCUAACUCCGUGCCAGCAGCCGCGGUAAUACGGAGGGUGCAAGCGUUAAUCGGAAUUACUGGGCGUAAAGCGCACGCAGGCGGUCUGUCAAGUCGGAUGUGAAAUCCCCGGGCUCAACCUGGGAACUGCAUUCGAAACUGGCAGGCUAGAGUCUUGUAGAGGGGGGUAGAAUUCCAGGUGUAGCGGUGAAAUGCGUAGAGAUCUGGAGGAAUACCGGUGGCGAAGGCGGCGCCCUGGACAAAGACUGACGCUCAGGUGCGAAAGCGUGGGGAGCAAACA